rnacentral:rRNA from 1 species
GGUAAUAUAGGCACACAAGGAUGCCUAGGUAGAGAGCCGAUGAAGGACGUGGUAAGCCUGCGAUAAGCCUAGAUAAGUUGCAAUCGAACGUAAGAAUCUAGGAUUUCCGAAUGGAGCAAUCUAUUAAGAUGGAGCCUUAAUACGAAAGAGGGAACCGCGUGAACUGAAACAUCUAAGUACCGCGAGGAAAAGAAAGUAAAAACGAUACCCAAAGUAGCGGCGAGCGAAUGGGUCAAGCCUAAACCUUAAAUAUGUCAAGGAUACAGCCGUUGUAUUUAGGGGGUUGAGGGACAGAGUAGUGAAGAACUGUAAGAUAUUCAAUAUAGUGUAUUGAUGAAUUGGAAUUGUCUGGAAAGGCGAACCGUAGAAGGUGAAAGUCCUGUACAAGUAAAUCNUUACACAUAUAACUCUGCUCCCAAGUAACAUGGAACACGAGGAAUUCUGUGUGAAUCUGUGAGGACCAUAUCUCAUAAGGCUAAAUACUCU